CCUACGGGAGGCAGCAGUAGGGAAUCUUUCACAAUGGGCGAAAGCCUGAUGGAGCAACGCCGCGUGCAGGAUGAAGGCCUUCGGGUUGUAAACUGCUUUUAUAAGCGAGAACUAUGAUGGUAACUUAUGAAUAAGGAUCGGCUAACUACGUGCCAGCAGCCGCGGUCAUACGUAGGAUCCGAGCAUUAUCCGGAGUGACUGGGUGUAAAGAGUUGCGUAGGUGGCAUAAUAAGUAGCUAGUGAAAUCUGGUGGCUCAACCAUUCAGACUAUUAGCUAAACUGUUAAGCUCGAGACCGUUAGGGGUAACUGGAAUUUCUAGUGUAGGAGUGAAAUCCGUAGAUAUUAGAAGGAACACCAAUAGCGUAGGCAGGUUGCUGGGACGGUUCUGACACUAAGGCACGAAAGCGUAGGGAGCAAACGGGAUUAGAUACCCGAGUAGUC
rnacentral:rRNA from 1 species